UUAGGUGACUUCACGGAGUUUGGGGUGGUUCAUAAGCAUUAGAAAGAAAAAGUAUGUGAGCCGCCUCCAAUGACUUCGCGUACCAUCUUCUAGCAUGUUUGGGGUAAGUGGAUGUUGAUACCAUCAUUACAAGCACUUCGGGAAGUACUACUUGUAUUUUGUUCAAUUAUAAACAAGAAUUGUGUGGGUGACCUGUUUGACAAUUUAAGAGGUUGUAUGAGCGAGCACUUUAAGCAAGCCAUACUUGCUUGAGCGAGAAUAUUCUCACUCUGGGGGCACUGAAAUUCGCACUUCAAAGUAUUCUUGUUCCCUUAAGUGAAUUUGCAUAUUUGCCUAAAGCUUCCCAUAUCCUUGAAAUUAUUUGUUGUAGAAGCCCGUUAGCAAUUUCAAACCAAGAGGGUGCAAAUAUUGUUUCGAGGAAAGAGUUUCCUUUACGGGUUUCAAGCCCUCCAUUUGCGGUUUUGCCUCCUCUUUUGUUUGCAUUUCAGCCUCCUUUUCUAAUUUUCGACAGUACACAAGUAGAAAAUUGGUGGCUAAAGUUUUUAUAAGCCUAUGAGUCAAGCCUAAACUUAGCGAUGUGGACUAAAUUGGGAUGGUUAAUGUUAAGAUAUACACAUCAACAAAGCAAAGCCUUCGAGAUAACUUGCACCAGAUUCUUAAUCCCAGAACUUGCAGAUUGAACGCAUCAGAUUUAUUCUCUAGCUUCUCACAUGGAUUCUUCCAGGCUGUCUACAGUUGUCCACAGCUGUGUUAAUUAGUUUAGUUAGUUAGUUUAGUUACUUAUGUUCUCUAUAAAUACCAGACCUUGUAUAGCUUUUAGAUCAUUGGAUUGUAGUUAUUCUCCAAUCCCUCCUUAUGGAGGUUUCUUUUCCUCCUACAAUGGAGUGUCUUUUAUAUGGAACUUAGUCCAGUUCCAUUUGUAUUCCUUUCCUCCUUUUAUGGAGUUCAAUUCAAUAUUGUUUCUUGCUUUAAUGAUGAAGUCUUUCAUAUUGUUUUCAUUCAAGAAUUUAACAUGGUAUCAGAGCAGAGAAUUCUUCCUGCUGCUGUUUUUUUUUUGUUUUGAGAUUUAAUUCAUCUCAUGUCUCUGUGUCCUGCUCAAUGAAAGCAGAUUUAUCACAGUUCAUACAGAUCAUCCUUCAAUUUGUCUACAUCUGAAGAUAACUUUGACUUCAGAUUUUUGCUCUUCUUUUCCAGCACCUGAAAUUUUGUAUUGUGUCUGUUUUUCCAGCAUUCCACUGGAUAUGAUUGUCUUUUCCAGCAUUCAUUGAAGGCAGGCCAGAUCCCGUUGAAGGCCUUUGUUUUCAGAAAAUUGUUGAUAAUGGCAGAGCCAUUCUCCUUCCAAUUUCCGGAUGCUAACUGAAGCUGAAAUAUUUUUGCUUCUUCGCCGAAGGAUUUCCUCCAUUUCAUGUCUUCAAUACAUUCAAAUUUCAAUCUUCAAAAUCUGCCCUUGCUACAUCAUGUUUGCAAGUGUUUCUACGUGAAUUUUUGGAAUCUGUGAAUGACAGUUUGGUUGUUGAAGCUUUAACAAGUGCAGAUAGGCAGAAAAAGGUCAAUUAUGGUUGGGCCUGCAUCCUUUUCCACUCUUCUCUUUAGUAACUGAAGCUGCACACAAGAUGUUUGAUAAAAUGUACAGCAAAGCUCUUCCUUAUUAUUUCUGGGUCUGGAGUACUGGCAUUUUGCUUAAACAACAUUGUGAAUCCAGGAACUUGUUCCAAUUGAUCUAUAUCAGAUUUUAUCAUCUUUAAUCUUCAAGAUGGACUAUAGUUGAUCUUCCAAGUCCAUCUUGAGGGGGGGUGUUAAGAUAUACACAUCAACAAAGCAAAGCCUUCCAGAUAACUUGCACCAGAUUCUUAAUCCCAGAACUUGCAGAUUGAACGCAUCAGAUUUAUUCUCUAGCUUCUCACAUGGAUUCUUCCAGGCUGUCUACAGUUGUCCACAGCUGUGUUAAUUAGUUUAGUUAGUUAGUUUAGUUACUCAUGUUCUCUAUAAAUACCAGACCUUGUAUAGCUUUUAGAUCAUUGGAUUGUAGUUUCUCUCCAAUCCCUCCUUAUGGAGGUUUCUUUUCCUCCUACAAUGGAGUGUCUUUUAUAUGGAACUUAGUCCAGUUCCAUUUGUAUUCCUUUCCUCCUUUUAUGGAGUUCAAUUCAAUAUUGUUUCUUGCUUCAAUGAUGAAACCUUUCAUAUUGUUUUCAUUCAAGAAUUUAACAGUUAACAUAA
rnacentral:lncRNA from 1 species